rnacentral:rRNA from 1 species
AUACCAGCACCCCGAGUGGUCGGGACGAUUAUUGGGCCUAAAGCAUCCGUAGCCGGUGUAGCAAGUCCUCCGUUAAAUCCACUUGCUCAACAAGUGGGCUGCGGAGGAUACUGCUACACUAGGGGGCGGGAGAGGCGAGGGGUAUUCCACGGGUAGGGGUAAAAUCCUUUGAUCCGUGGAGGACCACCAGUGGCGAAGGCGCCUCGUCAGAACGCGCCCGACGGUGAGGGAUGAAAGCUGGGGGAGCAAACCGGAUUAGAAACCCCAGUAGUCC